GAGCCCUUCCAGUGCCACUUGUGUCCGACUACAUUCACUCUGUACAGCAACCUUAACCGACACUUGCGCGUCCAUGCAAGAGAGCGUCCAUUUUCCUCUGACUCUAGCGAUGCAUCAUUUUCGGCAAGGGCUACCCUCAGGGACCACUUGUACACACACACAGGAGAGCGUCCAUUUUCUUGUGACUACUGCAACGCAUCUUUUUCGGCAGAGGCUACUCUCAAGGACCACUUGCGCACACACACGGGAGAACGCCCAUUUUCCUGUGACUAUUGCACUGCAUCUUUUUUGACAAAGGCUACCCUCAAAGACCACUUGCGCACCCACACAGGAAAGCGUCCCUUUCCCUGUGUCUACUGCAAUGCAUCCUUUGCAAAGAGUGCCAGCGUCAAGCAGCACAUGUCCCGUCGUCAUGCAAAGAAAAUAUGCUAAAGGUCGGCAAUUUAGCUAGUUUUCUUGUGAGGGAACAGAAGGGUUAAUUGAUUGAUCUCAUUGUUAUGGGCGAAGGUGACCUCUAAAGUGCAUAAAAUGGCUUUUAAGUGCCUCAGGAAUAUAGCUUGGAAAUAUAGUAAAACCUGUGCAAUCACGAGUUGCUGUUCACACAUGACUUGUGUUGACAUGCCACUGUGAAAUUUCUCUUUUGAUAUCGAAGCCGAAAGUGGUAGCAGUGUUACAAAUAAUUUGAUGUGUUCCGAGGCACCAUGACGCCCUCUUUAGGGUUCUUGACCCCAGUGUUUUCAUUUUGACUAACGGUACAAAAAUUUCUGAAAUUCAUGUCAGUGCUUCUUUAUGCGUUAACAGACGAAUUCCUGUUGUGGUUCAGAUCUUUUGAAAUUGUAUUCAUAGGCACAAUGUUGGUAUCUCUGAGCAUAAUAUUCGUACUUUGGAACAUGUUAACGAUCUUGUGUAUGCGCUGUCAAAAGUUGAGACGGCUACGUUCCUUGGUGGAGCCAAGCAACGUAGUUGUCAGGGAUGACAACUUAAAGUGAAAGAAGAGAAAGUUAUUUACAAUUGAAACAAUUAAUGUCAAGACUCCUAAAGAAGAAAAGAAAGAAGUCAAACGAGCGCACGGAGAUGACAUAUUGGUGAAGGCGUGCACAUGGAAGAACAAGGUGGCUGUGGCGCAACGCACCUGAAGGAGACGGCUGAUUAAUGCUUUUCUGGGUCCUGCCCCAGUGCGGGGAUGUUCUGAGAGGAUCUGCCUUAGUACCAGCCUUGGUGAGCAGCUGUCGGCUCGUCCCGAAGCCACCGCAGGCCCUGCUUUACCAGGCGGGAUGCUUCAGCGUUUGCACCGUUGUAUGGAAACACAUGGAGACUGGCUGCCACAGGUCCCUGCACUAUACCAGGAGCGCCUGGCGCUGCUCUGCCACUCAACAACCGACCAGGGGAUGAUGGACCGGGUGGGGACAUGAAGCUGGAACUGCAAGAGCCUGAACAUUGAGUUUUAAAGACUUGCUACACCAUACUUUUAUUGACAUUCAUUUUGUUCAUUUUCUUACGUUUAUAUAUUGGUUGGUGCAUUUGGUGUGCUCGUGAUGAGAAUACUGCAUGUAGUGGUUUGUUAAGUUGAUGUGUGCAUUGUUCAUCAUAAAACAUCAAAAGAGGUUUGGUCAUUUUGGCAUGCCAAAGAUGGCUUACCCAAAGUGGCAUUAGUGUAUAGCCAUCGUAUUCAUUCAGGAUAAUCAGUUAUGUAUAGUGAUAAAGUGGAAUACCUUUCUCGUGUCGGAUCGUGUGAGUGAAUAAGUUACUUAUAGCAUUCUGUUGUAUUGUUAUCCUUUCAUUGAAAGAAUAUAAAAAGAUUGAUGAGAAAUAUAUAAACUUUGCCAAUACAUAUAUGGAGUAAUAAUUGUUUUGCAUUGUGCACAAAAGUGUACCUGCUUUUCACCACCAGAAAUACUGAUCUUCCUUGGCACUCAAAAAAAAAUUUUUUUUCAGAAUUUCACUUUGAUUUGGGUUCUGCAGCACACAUGUUAUUUCAUGUGUUCAAUAAUUCAGUGAAUCUUUAAAUGUCCCGCAUUGUAUAGAUACUUUUAUCAAAAAAACAUUGCAGUAAGUAAUUGUGUUGGCACAUGGGCAUUAAAAAAAUUUGGUUAUUUAAAGGGACAGACAACCGCACGGAACAUGAAUUGAGAUAACUCCACUAAUGGAAACAUUCUCUAUUGUAUCAGCAAAAACGAGCCCUGUUUUUCUCAUUAGAUGUGGAUUUAUAUUUUGAUUUCUUCAUUAAAAUUCGUGAAAAGGUACUUUUAGCGCCCCACAUGGCAAAAACGCAACAAUGCAGUAGAGGCCGAUCAUGUAACCUUCUAUUUUUGUAAGCGGUUAAUGUUCUCUAUAAUAGUCUUGAAAUGCAGUAGACCUUUUUUUAUUAUAAUCGUUUCUAGCUUGAAUUGUGCAGAUAAGCCUUUGAUUCUAGUGUGCAGAACAGUGGUGCCGUCUUCACUUGAUGUGUGAUCUGAUGCUCAUGAGCGGCAGCAUGAAAGCUGUUAGUUAGCUGAGGUGCCAGCGGCACCUGCCGACGAGUUGGCGAAGUACCAGGAGUGCCUGGCUCAUGAGGUGGUGAAGGGAUUUUACGUGAUGACGAGUGUUUGGAAAACUUAUUCUACGGGCUUUUUAACUUUGAAAAAUGACUGUAAAUGUCAAAAUGAAGGUGGUUGACGACCAACGCCUGUGAACAGAGAACGUUGAGUGUAAUGAACAGUUUGUGAGGAGGAUUAUCAGCAUUGCUAUUACUUCUCAGUGUUGCUGGAGGUGGCACUAACUUUCAUAGCGGCUUCUCAGGUCGAAAAAUUCUGCUUACAAAACAUCAACGCACUUCUGUAAUUAACAGCUGCGGGUUAACCACUACCUAGGGGGAGCUUUCCGUUGCAUCUUGAACAACUGGGUCCAGAAAAAUCGGUUGUCAGUUCCUUUAAGUGUAGUCACAAAAUUGCAUCCAGAGCACACGUCUAUGCGUUAGUAGCAGGUGUUUGCAUGCGGUAAGCAUAGUAUUUACGUAGAGAGAGUUGGGAAGUUAUGCGAGACUUGUAUUUGGUCAGUGCACUGUUACCACUUCAGUAACUUGGUUUGAGUAGACCAAGAUUAUCAUAUACUUAUGAGUUCAGCAACCCUUCUUGAUUACCUGUUGCUGCAGUCGAGUUCCAUGUAGUGUGUGACACAUGGUGCGCCUUACCUUCCUGUCUGCCUGUGGCUUUGCAGGUUCCUUGUCUUUGGAGUCUCCCGAGCCGUACAGUUCACUCGUUACCGUACGAGACGGACUGCAUUUUUGCCAGCAGUGCCACUAUGCGACCAAUGUAAGGACAAACAUGAGAGGACACCUUCGCACACACACGGGCGUUCGUCCCUUCCAGUGCCACUUGUGUCCGGCUACAUUCACUCUGAACACCAACCUCAAGCGGCACUUGCGCGCCCACACAGGAGAGCGUCCCUUUUCCUGCAUCUACUGCGAUGCAUCUUUUGCAAAGAAUACAAGCCUCAAGCAGCACAUGUCCCGUAGUCAUGCUCAGAAAGUAUGCUAAAGGUGGGCCAUGACAUGUCCUAUGUACCAUACCACACAUUGGCAUUCACAUCCUGCAAGGCCUUUGCCGAAUCAUGCAUUGCUUGUUGCAUUGAAAUGCCUACUCAUUCUCCCACUGAGUCCAGAGUGAUUGAGCAAAGU